ACGCGAAGAACCUUACCUGGUCUUGACAUCCACAGAACUUUCCAGAGAUGGAUUGGUGCCUUCGGGAACUGUGAGACAGGUGCUGCAUGGCUGUCGUCAGCUCGUGUUGUGAAAUGUUGGGUUAAGUCCCGCAACGAGCGCAACCCUUAUCCUUUGUUGCCAGCGGUCCGGCCGGGAACUCAAAGGAGACUGCCAGUGAUAAACUGGAGGAAGGUGGGGAUGACGUCAAGUCAUCAUGGCCCUUACGACCAGGGCUACACACGUGCUACAAUGGCAUAUACAAAGAGAAGCGACCUCGCGAGAGCAAGCGGACCUCAUAAAGUAUGUCGUAGUCCGGAUUGGAGUCUGCAACUCGACUCCAUGAAGUCGGAAUCGCUAGUAAUCGUAGAUCAGAAUGCUACGGUGAAUACGUUCCCGGGCCUUGUACACACC
rnacentral:rRNA from 1 species